CGCGUAGGCGGUCCAACAAGUCGGGGGUGAAAUCCUGCAGCUUAACUGCAGAAGUGCCUUCGAUACUGUUGGUCUCGAGGGAGAUAGGGGUGUGCGGAACUUCCAGUGGAGCGGUGAAAUGCGUUGAUAUUGGAAGGAACGCCGGAGGCGAAAGCGGCGCACUGGAUCUCUUCUGACGCUGAGGCGCGAAAGCUAGGGGAGCAAACGGGAUUAGAUACCCCGGUAGUCCUAGCCCUAAACGAUGAGUACUAGAUUGUAGACUUAUCAUGGGUUUACAGUCGAAGCAAAAGUGUUAAGUACUCCGCCUGGGGAGUAUGGUCGCAAGGCUGAA
rnacentral:rRNA from 1 species